GGGUGACCUCCUGGGAAGUCCUCGUGUUGCAUCGCC
rnacentral:rRNA from 1 species